AUACGGAGGACGCGAGCGUUAUCCGGAUUCAUUGGGUUUAAAGGGUGCGCAGGCGGCCGUGCAAGUCAGCGGUGAAAGCCCGGGGCUCAACCCCGGAAGUGCCGUUGAUACUGCAUGGCUGGAAUGCGGUCGAGGCGGGCGGAACGUGGCGGGUUGCGGGGAAAUGCGUAGAUAUGGCACAGAACGCCGAUAGCGGAGGCAGCUCGCCAGGCCUGCAUUGACGCUCGGGCACGAAAGCGUGGGGAUCGAACAGGAUUAGAUACCCUGGUAGUCCACGCAGUAAACGAUGAUAACUAACCGCUGGGUCGUAGUGAUUCAGUGGCCAAGCGAAAGCGAUAAGUUAUCCACCUGGGGAGUACGACCGCAAGGUUGAAACUUAAAGGAAUUGACGGGG
rnacentral:rRNA from 1 species